AUUGAACGCUGGCGGCAGGCCUAACACAUGCAAGUCGAACGAGUGGCGGACGGGUGAGUAAUCUCUGGGAAACUGCCGAGUAGAGGGGGAUAACCACUCGAAAGGGUAGCUAAUACCGCAUACUAUUGGAUGUGCCCAUAUGGGAUUAGCUAGUAGGUGGGGUAAAGGCCCACCUAGGCGACGAUCCCUAGCUGGUCUGAGAGGAUGACCAGCAACACUGGAACGGAGACACGGUCCAGACUCCUACGGGAGGCAGCAGUGGGGAAUAUUGCACAAUGGGCGCAAGCCUGAUGCAGCCAUGCCGCGUGUAUGAAGAAGGCCUUCGGGUUGUAAAGUACUUUCAUCGGGGAGGCGUUACCCGCAGAAGAAGCACCGGCUAACUCCGUGCCAGCAGCCGCGGUAAUAC
rnacentral:rRNA from 1 species